UGGGGAAUAUUGGACAAUGGGCGAAAGCCUGAUCCAGCCAUGCCGCGUGUGUGAAGAAGGUCUUCGGAUUGUAAAGCACUUUAAGUUGGGAGGAAGGGCAGUAAGUUAAUACCUUGCUGUUUUGACGUUACCGACAGAAUAAGCACCGGCUAACUCUGUGCCAGCAGCCGCGGUAAUACAGAGGGUGCAAGCGUUAAUCGGAAUUACUGGGCGUAAAGCGCGCGUAGGUGGUUUGUUAAGUUGGAUGUGAAAGCCCCGGGCUCAACCUGGGAACUGCAUCCAAAACUGGCAAGCUAGAGUACGGUAGAGGGUGGUGGAAUUUCCUGUGUAGCGGUGAAAUGCGUAGAUAUAGGAAGGAACACCAGUGGCGAAGGCGACCACCUGGACUGAUACUGACACUGAGGUGCGAAAGCGUGGGGAGCAAACAGGAUUAGAUACCCGAGUAGUCCCUGAGCGGGCUGGCAAGGCGCAU
rnacentral:rRNA from 1 species